GGCAGCCUACGGGGCGCAGCAGUGAGGAAUAUUGGUCAAUGGGCUUACGCCUGAACCAGCCAAGUCGCGUGAGGGAAGACUGCCCUAUGGGUUGUAAACCUCUUUUGUCAGGGAGCAACGCCGGCUACGUGUAGCCGGACUGAGAGUACCUGAAGAAAAAGCAUCGGCUAACUCCGUGCCAGCAGCCGCGGUAAUACGGAGGAUGCGAGCGUUAUCCGGAUUUAUUGGGUUUAAAGGGUGCGCAGGCGGGCUGUUAAGCCGGCGGUAAAAAUU
rnacentral:rRNA from 1 species